rnacentral:lncRNA from 1 species
UCCAUCUGUAAGGGUGUACCCUUCUGUAGAAGUACCUUGCCUUGCUGAGAAUUAAAAAGAAAAUUUUAUAUUCGAGUACUAGUUCUUUUGCAGCACCGAAACUUUAUUUAUAACAAUUUGGGGCCUCACCGGUGAUUACAUUAUCCUCCGGGGGCGGUCUCUGGUUCUCUCUUCUGAGGAGACAUGCCCCGCCCCCUUGUGGCGGCCUCGGGGGUGAGAACUCAAGACCCACUCAGUGCGAGGAAUAACCGCAGCUCUCAGCAACGCGCAGGGGAGGGGCUGGGGGGAGGGACUGGCCAGCAACCUAGCUUAAAGGAUCCUCAUAGACUGCAGCGACGAUUCUGUGCACAGACUAAGGAAGGAGAAGCUGCAGGAACCGUUUCCUGAGUUGCAAGUUUAGGCUCUUGGCUGUAAACAGUUCUUCUUUCCUAAUAUUUCAAACAUUUCAUUGAAGGAGAUCAAGAAAAUUAAUUACUGAUCAAGAGCCCACCUAAACUUGAAAACAAGCUUAUGUUACUAUAGAAGAAUGAGAGAUCACCUGGGCAAAUAUAAGACAUUUUAGAUGAUCCAUAAUAGAAUUACUAACCUCCAGUCUGUCUGCCAGCUCCACAAAGACACAAGAGCAAACCCAGAAAUUCUGAGAACCUUCCUUGAAAUCAUUGAACAGCAAAUGAACAAGCUGUUGCCAACCUGGGGUAGAAGACAGCAGAUGGCUUUGUCAAACUUGUAUUUGUCCCUGGGGUAAAGGGCUUCAAUGCUGAGCAUCGAGCAUAAGGAGUUGGAGAAAGAGAUGUGGGUGAUUUACCUCUGCCAUGUAAGUCCUCCAUUAUUUGUCUUGUCUUAGUCCUAUUUCUUCCUUGUACCCAUCAAAGCAUUGGCAUUUCUUAGUCUGCAUCUUCUUGGGGGUUCUGCUGAAUAAGUCCGCUUUUCAUUAGCUGCAACUUUCUUUUCAAGUGUUCUAGGUUUUGUCUUUCUGUUCUUGGAUUAAUGACUCACGCAUUCAUCUCUUUUUGUCUGUCAGAAAUGUGUUUAAACCUGUCUUUAAUUGAUGCCCCCACCCUGCUCUCAGCUGUCAACUUAUUUAUUUACCUUUUUUACCUUUAUUUUACUUGCAUGUUGGGACCUGAAAAAAGUGGAGGUGGGUACGUACCAAUGCUUUAUCUACUAUCUUGCCCUGACGAAUCCACCUCUCACAUGAAACAGUGAGUUACUGAAAGGCAGCAAUUGUACCUUUUUGUCUUUGUAUUUCUAGUGCUUAUCUUGGGGCCU